UAGUAACGGCGAGUGAACCGGGAAGAGCUCAAAUUUGAAAUCUGGCGUCCUCAGGGCGUCCGAGUUGUAAUCUAUAGAGGCGUUUUCCGUGCCGGACCGUGUCCAAGUUCCUUGGAACAGGAUAUCAAAGAGGGUGACAAUCCCGUACUUGACACGACGACCGGUGCUCUGUGAUACGUCUUCUACGAGUCGAGUUGUUUGGGAAUGCAGCUCAAAAUGGGUGGUGAGUUCCAUCUAAAGCUAAAUAUUGGCGAGAGACCGAUAGCGAACAAGUACCGUGAGGGAAAGAUGAAAAGCACUUUGGAAAGAGAGUUAAACAGUACGUGAAAUUGUUGAAAGGGAAACGAUUGAAGUCAGUCGUGACCGAGAGGCUCAGCCGGUUCUGCCGGUGUAUUCCCCUCGGUCGGGUCAACAUCAGUUUUGUCCGGUGGAUAAGGGCAGUAGGAAGGUGGCACCCUCGGGUGUGUUAUAGCCUGCCGUCGCAUACAUCGGGUGAGACUGAGGGACGCAGCUCGCCUUUAUGGCCGGGGUUCGCCCCACGUCCGAGCUUAGGAUGUGACAUAAUGC
rnacentral:rRNA from 1 species